UUUGUCUUAUCCCAUGACAUCAGAUGCAUUGAAUAAAGAAAUAAAAAAAAGUAAUCAUGGUAAAAAAAAAUUUAAUUAAAAAGAAAAAAACAACAAAAAUACAUUUCAAUCUAACCAAGGGUGUCACAAAGAAAAUAAAAAUCAGAAGUGAAGGAAUGACCCAAGCAAAUCUGAGUGCGCUUGUCGGCAUGCAACCCAUGCAUAAGGCCAUGAUAAGUUUUAUAGAAAUCUGAAAAAAGGAUAGAAUACAAAGCGUCGAAGGAUAAAAAAGACUAAUAUCACUUGAGUCAACAUUUCAAACUCAUCACCUCGAUUAUAAGCCUAGUGCAACCCUACUAACGAUAACCAUGACUCUCAAUUCGCAACCAACCCGAUAUCAAAAGAUAAAAUAAAAAAAU
rnacentral:lncRNA from 1 species